AUACUUACCUGACAGGGGAGAUGCCAUGAACAUAUAGGUGGUUUUCCCAGGGUAAGUCUUAUCCAUUGUACUGUGGAUGGGCUGACCCCUGCGAUUUCCCCAAAUGUGGGAAACUUGACUGCAUUAUUUGUGAUAGUAGGAGACUGCGUUGGCCUCUCCUCUGU
rnacentral:snRNA from 1 species